GACGUAGGGCGCGAGCGUUGUCCGGAUUUAUUGGGCGUAAAGAGCUCGUAGGCGGCUUGUCGCGUCGAAUGUGAAAUCUCAGGGCUCAACUCUGACAUUGCAUUCGAUACGGGCAGGCUCGAGUUCGGUAGGGGAGACUGGAAUUCCUGGUGUAGCGGUGAAAUGCGCAGAUAUCAGGAAGAACACCCGUGGCGAAGGCGGCUCUCUGGAACGCAACUGACGCUGAGACGCGAAAGCGUGGGGAGCAAACAGG
rnacentral:rRNA from 1 species